UACGGAGGGUGCAAGCGUUAUCCGGAUUUACUGGGUUUAAAGGGUGCGCAGGCGGAUAUGUAAGUCAGUGGUGAAAUCUUCCCGCUUAACGGGAAAACUGCCAUUGAUACUAUAUAUCUUGAACGCUGUGGAGGUAAGCAGAAUAUGUCAUGUAGCGGUGAAAUGCUUAGAGAUGACAUAGAAUACCUAUUGCGAAGGCAGCUUACUACGCAGAUAUUGACGCUCAUGCACGAAAGCGUGGGGAUCAAACAGG
rnacentral:rRNA from 1 species